rnacentral:snRNA from 1 species
AUACUUACCUGGCAGGGGAGAUACCAUGAUCACAAAGGUAGUUUUCCCAGGGUGAGGCUUAUCCAUUGCACUCCGGAUGUGCUGACCCCUGCAAUUUCCCCAAAUGUGGGAAACUCUACUGCAUAAUUCAUGGUAGUGGGGGACUGCAUUCGUGCUUUCCACGG